rnacentral:rRNA from 1 species
UACAGAGGUCUCGAGCGUUGUUCGGAUUCAUUGGGCGUAAAGGGUGCGUAGGCGGCCCUGUAAGUCAGUGCUGAAAUACCCCGGCUUAACCGGGGGGGUGGCAUUGAUACUGCAGGGCUUGAGUACAGAUGAGGUAGGCGGAAUUGACGGUGUAGCGGUGAGAUGCAUAGAUAUCGUCAAGAACACCUAUAGCGAAGGCAGCUUACUGGGCUGUAACUGACGCUGAGGCACGAAAGUGUGGGGAUCAAACAGG